rnacentral:sRNA from 1 species
UCCCUUUUUUGGUUUUUUUUCUCCUCGUUUUAAAUGUUAAAACUAGGUUGUUUUACUUGUGUUUU